rnacentral:rRNA from 1 species
UAGGGAAUCUUCCGCAAUGGACGCAAGUCUGACGGAGCAACGCCGCGUGAGUGAAGAAGGUUUUCGGAUCGUAAAACUCUGUUGUAAGAGAAGAACAAAUUGUAGAGUAACUGCUACAGUCUUGACGGUAUCUUACCAGAAAGCCACGGCUAACUACGUGCCAGCAGCCGCGGUAAUACGUAGGUGGCAAGCGUUGUCCGGAUUUAUUGGGCGUAAAGGGGGCGCAGGCUGCUUCUUAAGUCUGAUGUGAAAGCCCACGGUUUAACCGUGGAAGUGCAUUGGAAACUGGGAAGCUUGAGUACAGAAGAGGAAAGUGGAACUCCAUGUGUAGCGGUGGAAUGCGUAGAUAUAUGGAAGAACACCAGUGGCGAAAGCGACUUUCUGGUCUGUCACUGACGCUGAGGCCCGAAAGCGUGGGUAGCAAACAGG